rnacentral:rRNA from 1 species
AUCCGCCGUAAUGAUCUAUAAGGACAGUUCGGGGCAUCCAGUAUUCGACUGUCAGAGUGUAACUGCUGGAUCAGUGAGACUACUCUGCGGAUAAGCAUUUGUCAGGAUGUUUUCAUAAUCAGAUACGAAAGUUAGGGGAUCGAAGACGAUCAGAUGCCGUCGUAGUCUUAACCAUUAACUAUGCCAGCUAGGUAUCGCGACCGGUGUGUGUUUCAUGCCCCGUCCGGCACCGUACGAGAAAUCCAAAGUGCCUUGCGCUCCAGGGAGUAGUAUUGGUCCGCAAGGGCUGACACCUAAAGAAAUUGGCGGAAGGGCACACCAGGGGUGGAGACUGCGGCUUAAUUUGACUCAACACGGGGAAACUCACCAGGUCCAGACACAGUGAGGAUUGACAGAUUGAGAGCUCUUUCUUGAUUUUGUGGGUGGUGGUGCAUGGCCGUUCUUAGUUGGUGGGGUGACUUGUCUGCUUAAUUGCGAUAACGAACGAGACCUUAACCUGCUAAAUAGCCCGCAUUGCUCCGGCAGUGCGCUGGCUUCUUAGAGGGACUUUCGGCUCAAGCCGAAGGAAGUUUGAGGCAAUAACAGGUCUGUGAUGCCCUUAGAUGUUCUGGGCCCGCACGCGCGCUACACUGACGGGGUCAGCGAGUUCCUUGGCCGAAAGGCCCGGGUAAUCUUGUUAGCCCCCGUCGUGCUGGGGAUAGAGCAUUGCAAUUACACUCGUCGACGAGGAAUCCCUAGUAAGCGCAAAUCAUCAUCUUCGCUUCGGCGUCCCAGCUCUUUCACACCCGGGCCUGAAGGAGAAUCUCGGUCGCUAAAUCAACUGAGCCUAUAUA